rnacentral:rRNA from 1 species
GACGAACGCUGGCGGCGUGCCUAAUACAUGCAAGUAGAACGCUGAAGCGAGGAGCUUGCUCUUCUUGGAUGAGUUGCGAACGGGUGAGUAACGCGUAGGUAACCUGCCUGGUAGCGGGGGAUAACUAUUGGAAACGAUAGCUAAUACCGCAUAAAAUGGAUUAUCGCAUGAUAAUCCAUUGAAAGGUGCAAAUGCAUCACUACCAGAUGGACCUGCGUUGUAUUAGCUAGUUGGUGGGGUAACGGCUCACCAAGGCGACGAUACAUAGCCGACCUGAGAGGGUGAUCGGCCACACUGGGACUGAGACACGGCCCAGACUCCUACGGGAGGCAGCAGUAGGGAAUCUUCGGCAAAGGACGGAAGUCUGACCGAGCAACGCCGCGUGAGUGAAGAAGGUUUUCGGAUCGUAAAGCUCUGUUGUAAGAGAAGAACGAGUGUGAGAGUGGAAAGUUCACACUGUGACGGUAUCUUACCAGAAAGGGACGGCUAACUACGUG